rnacentral:rRNA from 1 species
GCGGCAGGCCUAAUACAUGCAAGUCGAACGGUGGUAGCAAUACCAUAGUGGCGCACGGGUGCGUAACACGUAACUAAUCUGCCCAACCCUGGGGGAUAGCCCGCCGAAAGGCGGAUUAAUACCGCAUAAGAUAAUAAGGUGGCAUCACCUAGUUAUUAAAGAUUUAUCGGGGUUGGAUGAGGUUGCGGGUCAUUAGCUAGUUGGUAAGGUAAUGGCUUACCAAGGCGACGAUGACUAGGGGAGCUGAGAGGCUGGUCCCCCACACGGGCACUGAGAUACGGGCCCGACUCCUACGGGAGGCAGCAGUAGGGAAUAUUGGGCAAUGGGCGAGAGCCUGACCCAGCCAUGCCGCGUGCAGGAAGAAGGCUUUCUGAGUCGUAAACUGCUUUUGACAGGGAAGAAUAACCGGUACGUGUACCGGGAUGACGGUACCUGCAGAAUAAGCACCGGCUAACUCCGUGCCAGCAGCCGCGGUAAUACGGAGGGUGCGAGCGUUGUCCGGAUUUAUUGGGUUUAAAGGGUGCGUAGGCGGCCCGUUAAGUCCGGGGUGAAAGCCCGCUGCUCAACAGCGGAACUGCCCUGGAU